UACGUAGGGUGCGAGCGUUAAUCGGAAUUACUGGGCGUAAAGCGUGCGCAGGCGGUUUUGUAAGCCAGAUGUGAAAGCCCCGGGCUCAACCUGGGAAUGGCAUUUGGGACUGCAAGGCUGGAGUUUGGCAGAGGAGACUGGAAUUUACGGUGUAGCGGUGAAAUGCGUAGAUAUCGUAAGGAAGACCAGUGGCGAAGGCGGGUCUCUGGACAGUUCCUGACGCUGAGGCACGAAGGUCAGGGGAGCAAACGGG
rnacentral:rRNA from 1 species